rnacentral:rRNA from 1 species
GAGUUUGAUUCUGGCUCAGGAUGAACGCUGGCGGCAUGCCUAACACAUGCAAGUUGAACGAGAAGUUUUGGAGGGAGUCUUCGGACGAACGAAGGAAUGGAAAGUAGCGAACGGGUGAGUAACGCGUGGGCAACCAACCUUACACAGGGGGAUAACGCAGAGAAAUUUGCGCUAAUACCGCAUAAGCGCACAGUACCGCAUGGUACGGUGUGAAAAACUCCGGUGGUGUAAGACGGGCCCGCGUCUGAUUAGUUAGUUGGUGAGGUAAAAGCUCACCAAGGCGACGAUCAGUAGCCGACCUGAGAGGGUGAUCGGCCACAUUGGGACUGAGACACGGCCCAAACUCCUACGGGAGGCAGCAGUGGGGGAUAUUGCACAAUGGAGGGAACUCUGAUGCAGCAAUGCCGCGUGAAGGAAGACGGUUUUCGGAUUGUAAACUUCUAUCAGCAGGGAAGAAAAUGACG